rnacentral:pre_miRNA from 1 species
GUAGUAUUCCCUCCGUCCCAAAAUUCUUGUCUUACAUUUGUUUAGAUAAGGAUGUAUCUAACACUAAAAUGUAACUAGAUACAUCCGUAUUUAGACAAAUUUAAGACAAGAAUUUUGGGACGGAGGGAGUACAAA